UACGUAGGGCGCAAGCGUUGUCCGGAAUUAUUGGGCGUAAAGAGCUCGUAGGUGGUUUGUUACGUCUGCUGUGAAAACCUAGGGCUUAACCCUGGGCCUGCAGUGGAUACGGGCAGACUAGAGGUAGGUAGGGGAGAAUGGAAUUCCCGGUGUAGCGGUGAAAUGCGCAGAUAUCGGGAGGAACACCGGUGGCGAAGGCAGAUCUCUGGGCCGUAACUGACGCUGAGGAGCGAAAGCAUGGGGAGCGAACAGG
rnacentral:rRNA from 1 species